GGGCUUGACAUCCCACGAACCUGCCUGAAAGGGCGGGGUGCCCGCAAGGGAGCGUGGAGACAGGUGGUGCAUGGCUGUCGUCAGCUCGUGUCGUGAGAUGUUGAGUUAAGUCCCGCAACGAGCGCAACCCUCACCCCUGGUUGCCACCGGGUAAAGCCGAGCACUCGAGGGGAACUGCCAGCGUCAAGCUGGAGGAAGGCGGGGAUGACGUCAAGUCAUCAUGCCCCUUACGCCCUGGGCUACACACGUACUACAAUGGCCGGUACAAAGGGACGCGAGACCGCGAGGUGGAGCUAAUCCCAAAAAACCGGUCUAAGUUCAGAUUGCAGUCUGCAACUCGACUGCAUGAAGGAGGAAUCGCUAGUAAUCGCGCAUCAGCACGGCGCGGUGAAUACGUUCCCGGGCCUUGUACACACCGCCCGUCACACCACGAAAGCUGUCUGUACUCGAAGUCGCUGAGA
rnacentral:rRNA from 1 species